ensembl:lncRNA
GCAGACUUCCAUGUCUUCCAUGUAAUGGACAUUUUCUGUGCUGGGCAACUACCAACCACUCACAAACCAGUCAGAGAAUGCACCUCGCCUGAGUGAGCUGUGCUUGCUGACCAGUCUGUAGCCAAAGCCAAUGAGGAAAUGAAGAAAAGACUCGAGUUCCACUGACAACUUCAGGCCAAAGAAUUAAAGCAAGACCACAUUUAUUCAGGGAUUUUCCUCUCACACAGAGUGACGUCUUGUCUGUAGCAACUGUGUUGCUGUCAUUCUGCAAUCAUGUGUAACCUCUUAUGUUUGUAUUAUAGUUUUACCAUCCUUUGUGAAGUACAUUCAUCUGUAUUUGUCAUUGGCGAACGCUGCCAAUACCACCCCUUUACAUGUAUUGAAAACCCUGGGUUAUCACUGAUAACCAAUGUUACCCUAGCAAUUAGGAUGACUGCAAGUGAAUCUAGAUAUGCAAAUAUGCAGAGCCCAGGCAUAUAAUACAGGACAUGUCCGGUAUGACUAAGACAAAAAAUAUAAUCAAGUGAUCUUGAAGUCAAUCAUAAGGAGAAAUACAACAAAAGUAGAAAUAUGAAUGAAUGAGUUUAAUUCACCGAGAUUUAUAAAUUAGAAACAAAAUUUUAAAAAAAAGAAAAGAAAAAAAGCAAGUUUGGAAGUAGUAACAAACACUGUAGAGCACAUCUAUAACAAGGUAGAAAAGUACACAAUUCUCACUUCACUUUCAGGCUUCAACACAGCUCUGGCAAGACUCAAUGUUUCAGUGCAGCACAUAAACAGAGCAUUGUAGAAAACUAGGUUUUGUAAACAUCCAUGAUGAUGAUCAAGAUUAUAGAAGGAAAUGUAACAAAACAGAAGUACAACAGAAACAAGAUCUUAAUAUAUUAAAAUUUGUGCUUCUGUUAACCACAAUCACGACAACACUGGAUCAACAGGUAAAUAAUACAGUCAAGGAAGCACUCUUUGAAUUUAAUAAAAUACCCUCCACUGUAAUAACUUACAUACAUUCAUUAACUCCAUUGGUCAUUUGACAGUCUGUUGAAUUGCUAAGGAGUAGUUACAGAACCAAACUGAAACAUACAUCGACUCUUCAGGACACUGUUAGAUUACAAUAAAUGUCUGAACAUAACUUUCGCUGAAACAAGCUUUAAUGAGGUUUGGGAUCAGCGCAAAAAAAAAAAAAAAAAAAAAA